rnacentral:rRNA from 1 species
GUGGGGAAUAUUGGACAAUGGGCGAAAGCCUGAUCCAGCCAUGCCGCGUGUGUGAAGAAGGUCUUCGGAUUGUAAAGCACUUUAAGUUGGGAGGAAGGGCAGUAAGUUAAUACCUUGCUGUUUUGACGUUACCGACAGAAUAAGCACCGGCUAACUUCGUGCCAGCAGCCGCGGUAAUACGAAGGGUGCAAGCGUUAAUCGGAAUUACUUGGCGUAAAGCGCGCGUAGGUGGUUUUGUAAGUUGGAGGUGAAAUCCCCGGGCUCAACCUGGGAACUGCCUCCAAAACUGCAUGACUAGAGUACGGUAGAGGGUAGUGGAAUUUCCUGUGUAGCGGUGAAAUGCGUAGAUAUAGGAAGGAACACCAGUGGCGAAGGCGACUACCUGGACUGAUACUGACACUGAGGUGCGAAAGCGUGGGGAGCAAACAGGAUUAGAAACCCGUGUAGUCC